AUUGAACGCUGGCGGCAGGCCUAACACAUGCAAGUCGAGCGAGCGGCGGACGGGUGAGUAAUGUCUGGGAAACUGCCUGAUGGAGGGGGAUAAAUACUGGAAACGGUAGCUAAUACCGCAUACCAUCAGAUGUGCCCAGAUGGGAUUAGCUAGUUGGUGGGGUAACGGCUCACCAAGGCGACGAUCCCUAGCUGGUCUGAGAGGAUGACCAGCCACACUGUAACUGAGACACGGGCCAGACUCCAACGGGAGGCAGCAGUGGGGAAUAUUGCACAAUGGGCGCAAGCCUGAUGCAGCCAUGCCGCGUGUAUGAAGAAGGCCUUCGGGUUGUAAAGGACUUUCAGCAGGGAGGCGUUACCCGCAGAAUAAGCACCGGCUAACUCCGUGCCAGCAGCCGCGGUAAUAC
rnacentral:rRNA from 1 species